rnacentral:lncRNA from 1 species
AGACCAGACAAGGCCGCCCAUUUAGGGGAACAGGCAUUUAAAUAGCAGAUUCGGGCGAGGCCUUGUUCCUGUCAUUGGAGGCCCUGGGUAAAGUCCAAGCUGCUCAUCUAUUAUGUGAAGGGGGCCUAGUUCCAGCCCAUACUUGCUCUUUGUUCAUUGAUUCAGUCUCUGGGAGCCCCCAGCUGUCCAGGUUAGUUGACUCUGUUGGUCUUCCUGUGGAGUCGCUGUCAUCUUGCUGUCCCUCACUCUUUUCCCAACUUCUUUUAACGUUUGGCUGUGAGUCUCUGAAUCUCUUUUCAUUGCCUGCUAGGUAGAGCCUCUCAGAAGACAGUUGUGCUAGGUUCCUCAUUGUAAGCAUAACAGAGCAUCAUUAAUAGUGUCAGGGAUUAAUUCUUGCCUAUAGGCUAGAUCUCAAUUUGAGUUGGUUAUUGGUUGGCUGUUCUCUCAGUCUUCAUUCUAUUUUUGUCCCUACACAUCUUGUAAACAGGACACAUUUUUGGUCUAAAGUUUUGUGGGUAGGUUGCUCUUCCUAACCCUCCCUGGAGCCUUGCCUAUCUAUGGGGAGUAGCCACUUCAGAACCCAUAUUCCUCACUAAUAGGAGUGUCAGCUAGAGUCAGCCAUCAUAGAACCACUGGGCCUCCCCUAAUCCCAGGUCUCUUGGAUGCCUUAGAGAUUGAAAACAGAAAAUUUCCUUUCUCUCUCUCCUGCUCUCCCAACAUUUAAUCUCUCUAGCCCCAGCCCACUCUGCUCCUAGUCCCCUCCUUUACCUACUUCUCUCAUUCCAUCAAACUGUGAUAUCUACUUUGGUUUUCCUCUUGAGAAAGAUUCAACCAUUCUCCCUUAAGCCCUCCUUGUUGGCUUCUUUGGGUCUGUUAAUUAUACCAUGGAUAUCCUGUCCUUUAUGGCUAAUAUCCACUUAAACAUGAGUACAUACAAUGAAUGUCUUUUUGGGUCUCAGUUACCUCACUUGGGAUGAUAUCUUUUUACUUUCAUUCAUUUGCCUGCAAAAUUCAUGAUAUCCUUGUUUCUAAUGGCUGAGUAAUAUUUCAUUGUGUAAAUAAACCACAUUUUAAUCCAUUCUUCUAUUGAGGAUCAUCUAAUUUUCAAGUUUCUCACUAUUAUGAGUAAAGCUGCUAUGAACCUAGUUGAGCAAUUGUCCUUGUGAGAUGGUGGAGCAUCUUUUGGCUGCUCAGGAGUAGUAUAGUUUGGGUCUUGAGGUAAAACUAUUCUCAAAAUUCUGAGACACUGUCAAAUUUAUUUCCAGAGUGGCUGUAUAAGAGUUCACUCUCACCAGCAAUGGAGGAGUGUUCCUCUUCCUUGGAGCACCUUCAUUUAAAUGUGCAAAAUACAUAGUUUUAAUAAGAUGGCAAUGUAAGCAUAUUAAAAUGUGGAAGAACAUAAUACACGAAAGAUCCAAGCUAUCUGGUACCCUUGCGACCACAUGAGAUAGAUUGAAUUGGCAACUGAUUGGAUGUCAGAGCAUCUGGGAUUUAGUCACUAAAACUAUUAAAGUGGGGACCUUAGUAGUUCACAUAGGCAAUUGUUCAAUGCAGGAUCAAUGUCAACAUAAACUAAAAGAAAACAAAACAUAUAAGUUUGUUCAAAUGACUUCUCCAUUCUGCAUAUGAAGCAUCAAUUUCCAAUCUCUUUCUUUCUCUUUCUUUUCUCCUCUGCUCUCUGUCUCCUUUGCCUCUCUUUCUCUAUCUCUUUCUUUCUCUGUCUCCUGCACAUGAAUUUCUCUAUCUCUCUCUCCUUCUUAUCCCCUUUCAAAGUAGACAAUGUUAAAUAAUAUAAAUAUUUCAAAAUGUUCUAAGUAGGAGGAUAUCUCAAUGUCUCGGCUAGAGCUUUAUUGCUGUGAAGAAAUACCAUUUCCAAAGAAACUCUUAAAAAGGAGAACACUUAAUUGGGGCUGGCUUGCAGUUUCAGAAGUUUAGUCCUUUAUCAUCAUGGCAGGAAACAUGGUAGCAUGCAGGGAAACAUGAUGCAGAAAGUUCUAUAUCUUGAUCCACUGGCAGCAGAAGAAAUGCUAUGUGCCAUUCUGGGUAGAGCUGGAGCAUAGAACUUAUAGUAAUAAUUGAGGUUCCUGAAGCAUUCAUUUAUCAUUUUUGAAUGACACUCUUCAUAAACACCUCAUUUUUAUGUCAAGGUUGGGUUCCUUAUUUGCAUUGGCUUGAAGAUUCUUAAUUUCUUUUAUCUAAUGGUUAAAUCUGAAAGCCUAAUGCUAACUCUAACCCUAACUAUCUAGUAGCUGGUUCCUUUCCCAAGUUACCCUCAGGAUAGUUGGGGUCCUCCC